AUCCUAUAUGGGGCCAAGUAGGCUUGCGAUUAUACUCCCAUUUGGAUGUUUUCAUUAUUGAACGUUAUAAAUGUUGAAGAAAGUUAAUUUGUUCUUCUUAAAUUCCUUUUCAAUACCUUCCUUUUGUACUUUGUCAUUUAGCCUCUUUCUGAUGCUGUACGAAUUGCUAAUGGGAUGUUUCUUAAGUUCUCAUACAUCAUGACGUGACCAGUAACCAUGCGGCGUGACAAGAUACCAAGGGGCAGGAUGUGAGGAGAGGCGAAGAGGCCUUCUUGCUGAUGAGUUUACGUCAUUAGUGUUAAUUGCCACGGCACGACUUGGGUGUUUAGUUCGCGGGCAAGGGGUUAAUUGUUGAUUGCUGGGAAUUUAAGAACAGCCAAGUGUUUUCGGGAAUUUUAUUUGGAAUUGUCAGCAGAAUGUGUCCUAUGUCAUGAUAUUUUCAAUUCUAAAAAAGUAAACGCACUUCGGUAUUUAUUUCAA